AUUGAACGCUGGCGGCGUGCCUAACACAUGCAAGUCGAGCGGUAACAGGUGUAGCAAUACAUGCUGACGAGCGGCGAACGGGUGAGUAAUGCUUCGGAAUCUGCCCAUGUAGUGGGGAAUAACCAGCCGAAAGGUUGGCUAAUACCGCAUACGACCUACGGGUGAAAGCAGGGGAUCGCAAGACCUUGCGCUAUUGGAUGAGCCGAAGUCGGAUUAGCNGUUGGUAGGGUAACGGCCUACCAAGGCGACGAUCCGUAGCUGGUCUGAGAGGACGACCAGCCACACUGGGACUGAGACACGGCCCAGACUCCU
rnacentral:rRNA from 1 species